rnacentral:rRNA from 1 species
GACGAACGCUGGCGGCGUGCUUAACACAUGCAAGUCGAACGGAAAGGCCCUGCUUUUGUGGGGUGCUCGAGUGGCGAACGGGUGAGUAACACGUGAGUAACCUGCCCUUGACUUUGGGAUAACUUCAGGAAACUGGGGCUAAUACCGGAUAGGAGCUCCUGCUGCAUGGUGGGGGUUGGAAAGUUUCGGCGGUUGGGGAUGGACUCGCGGCUUAUCAGCUUGUUGGUGGGGUAGUGGCUUACCAAGGCUUUGACGGGUAGCCGGCCUGAGAGGGUGACCGGCCACAUUGGGACUGAGAUACGGCCCAGACUCCUACGGGAGGCAGCAGUGGGGAAUAUUGCACAAUGGGCGGAAGCCUGAUGCAGCAACGCCGCGUGCGGGAUGACGGCCUUCGGGUUGUAAACCGCUUUCGCCUGUGACGAAGCGUGAGUGACGGUAAUGGGUAAAGAAGCACCGGCUAACUACGUGCCAGCAGCCGCGGUGAUACGUAAGGUGCGAGCGUUGUCCGGAUUUAUUGGGCGUAAAGGGCUCGUAGGUGGUUGAUCGCGUCGGAAGUGUAAUCUUGGGGCUUAACCCUGAGCGUGCUUUCGAUACGGGUUGACUUGAGGAAGGUAGGGGAGAAUGGAAUUCCUGGUGGAGCGGUGGAAUGCGCAGAUAUCAGGAGGAACACCAGUGGCGAAGGCGGUUCUCUGGGCCUUUCCUGACGCUGAGGAGCGAAAGCGUGGGGAGCGAACAGGCUUAGAUACCCUGGUAGUCCACGCUGUAAACGGUGGGUACUAGGUGUGGGGUCCAUUCCACGGGUUCCGUGCCGUAGCUAACGCUUUAAGUACCCCGCCUGGGGAGUACGGCCGCAAGGCUAAAACUCAAAGGAAUUGACGGGGCCCCGCACAAGCGGCGGAGCAUGCGGAUUAAUUCGAUGCAACGCGUAGAACCUUACCUGGGUUUGGCAUGGAUCGGGAGCGCUCAGAGAUGGGUGUGCCUCUUUUGGGGUCGGUUCACAGGUGGUGCAUGGCUGUCGUCAGCUCGUGUCGUGAGAUGUUGGGUUAAGUCCCGCAACGAGCGCAACCCUUGUUCACUGUUGCCAGCACGUUAUGGUGGGGACUCAGUGGAGACCGCCGGGGUCAACUCGGAGGAAGGUGGGGAUGACGUCAAGUCAUCAUGCCCCUUAUGUCCAGGGCUUCACGCAUGCUACAAUGGCUGGUACAGAGAGUGGCGAGCCUGUGAGGGUGAGCGAAUCUCGGAAAGCCGGUCUCAGUUCGGAUUGGGGUCUGCAACUCGACCUCAUGAAGUCGGAGUCGCUAGUAAUCGCAGAUCAGCAACGCUGCGGUGAAUACGUUCCCGGG